rnacentral:tRNA from 1 species
GGAGAGGUGGCAGAGCGGUCGAUUGCACCGGUCUUGAAAACCGGCAAACUCGCAAGAGUUUCGGGAGUUCGAAUCUCCCCCUCUCCG